ensembl:lncRNA
GGUACAUGAAAAGCGCUUUAUAAAUCAAAUAUAUUAUUAUUAUUAUUAUUAUUAUCUAAAAGUGCCAAAAAUAAAAGUGAUUAAACAAAAUAAAAAAGACAUUAAAAAGUAUUAAAUAUUGUGAAAAAAUUAUAUAUCUAUGGUUAGUGUAGGCCUAAAUAUUAGUUUGCAUCCAUACAGCAGCAGCAGAAGAAGACGACGAAGAAGAAGAAGAAGAAGAAGAAGAAGAAGAAGAAGAAGACGAGGACGACGAGGAGGACGACGAAGAAGAAGAAGAUGAAGAUGAUGAUGAUGAUCACCUGUUCUCUCAGCAUGGUGUGUGGCACGAGGUAGUGACGUCACUACAGGACCACCGCGGAUUUAACGGACUGAGGACAUUGGCCGGUGCGCAGAUGUUGACUGUUCUGCCAUCGUUCCAUUACUCCAGCAGUCUGUCUCCUCACUGUGACCUUACAUCAGCUUGUGGAGUCAUUGGACAACGAAGGACAAGAAUGUGGCCACUUGACAAUAAACCUGCUGUCAUCCCCCAUGGAGUACUGGUAUGUUACUCAGUAUGCAACUCAAUGCACAAGGAAAUCUGACAGGUCGCCCAGUCAUUAACGGGAAAAGAAGAAAACAAAAACCAUACUUUGGCCAUGAAUUAAUUUUAUUUUUAUAUAUUUCUUAAUAGCUUGUUCCUCUUUUGACAUUUAUUUGAAUGCAUUUCAAUUUCAAUUUAGUUACUUACAGCUCAUUAACACAUGCAGCUUAUGAGAAGUAUUUUCAUUGCUUUAUAGGUUUGUAUGAGAUAAGGACAAGGGAGAUUGAGAACAGCUGCUGCUCUAAAACAGCACUGCACUUCUUACACUAGUAUUUGAAGAAAGAAUUUCAUUUUUUUCCCUGCUCUGGUACACUUAGGGUCUGCAUUAUUCAGCACUUGAAGGUCAUUUAUUACUAUUAUUAUUGUUAUUAUUAUUAUUAUUAUCUGUUCCUCAUCAGCUGGACGAUGUUGAGUAGUUGUGUGGUUUAUUCACACAGCACAAAAGAAUAUGGAUCCCCUUUCAUUUCAUCAUAGAUGGUCUGCAUCUUCCACAUAAUGCUGACCUGUACUUGACUUUGAUCCAUUGAUCCACACACAGUCCGUUCGGACCAGAGGAGAGAGAGGCCAAGACCAUCAGUACAAAAUGGGGUCCCUGUUGACUUAACCAGCAGCUAAUUAUGCAUGAACUUUCAUAUAGAUUUUUUUUUUUCAGGUCUGCUAAUUGGUUAUGUCACCAAUCGAUUUUAGCUGUUAUUGUUUUUCUCUCCAUGAUCUGAACCUCAAAGGAUGUUAGAGGAGAGAUUUCUCUAAAGUUUCCAGAAAAUCAUAACAAAGAGAUUGUGCAGUAAUUAAAUAUGCUGUUUAAAAAAUAUAUAUAUAUCACAUUGACAUGAAUAGAUGUACUUUUUACUAUGUCUGUUUCCUGUGAAAUCUAAAGGAUGAUGCACAAACAGAGUUAUAAUAUGGUUAGUGUGAGGAGUUGUAUUUUAAAACAUUACCUCUCAUUUGUGUUCUGAUAUACUGUACAAAAAAGGGAGAAGUAGCUUUUGUAAAGCAGAUAUCCAGAAGUCAUUGCUGACACCGGUUAAAAUGAUGUGCAUUUGUUAGAAGAGUCCUGUGAAAGCAUGAUGAUGUCUGCUUGCCCGGAGUUCUCGUGCUCAAAGCUCAAUCAGAUAUAAAAGUGUCACAGUCCACAUCCUUAAUCUGAAUUUAUGUCAUCAUCUUAGCUAAAGGCUGUUAAAGGUGAGCACACACACAUGUUCUCGGUCGACAGACACACACAAAUAUUAAAACAAUAAAAAAAAAAGAUUCUUUCAUCCUUACCGUUAUAUUAGUUACCUCUAUCUAUUAGCACUAGCUCAUUUUCUGAUCUGGAAUCUAUACCAGUAUACGGUGGCUGAUUUAAGGUUCAGGGAUCCGAUUGCCUCGGGCAAGUUAUUCUAAGAGCCCCCUGAUGUCAGUGGGACUGCCUGGCAGAAUAAAAGGCAAGGCAAUAAACUGGGGGAAAAAGUAGCACACGCGCAUUGAAAUGGGGGCCUCCCCGAGGCGAUGGCCCAACUGGCCCGUGGUUAAAUCCUCCACUGAAAGUGUAAUAAUCACACCAGAGCCCCACAGAGGGAAGGGAAGGGAAAGAGAACGAGUGGGGGAAGACACAGAGGUACCAAAACAAAACAAAAAAAACACCCCUCUCUGUCCUGUUCUCUUUGUGCCUUCUAUCUGAGGGGAAAAAAGAUCUUGGCACUAAGAAAGGGAAUUAUUACGGGGUAUGAUGGCAACUAAUGGCAAAAGUAGAACAAGAUCAGAAUCAGAUCACAAGGGUUUAUUGUAGCUGCGGCAGUGAUUCUGAUGUGUUUGCAGAUAUAAGCGUUAGACUUGUACUCUAAUCCUGGCCAAAGGCUGUCAUAAGCUCACCCCGGCUGCAGAUAAAUGCUCAAAAAUACAAUGGGUAGCCUAAGUAAUGGGCUUUGUACUGAGAUUACUUAACACACAUUUGUAUCCAAGAGGGAUAUAUUAAUGAUCAUUGUGUUUUCUCUGUAAUUACAAGCUUUUUCUUGUCUUUGGCUAUGGUGAAUUUAUUUUUCGUCUCUCCCCCCCCCAAAAAAAACAACAACCAAAAAGGCAAAAAGCAUUUGUUUAUAGCAAUAUUACCCCCCCUCGCACUCUUGAACGCCUCUCAAUUCUUUCCCCUUUUAGAGUGCCCAACAGGAGCUCCCACUAUAAAUCACAUUUAGUACCUCUGACAUGUUGGAAGAAGUGAAAUAGCUGCCAGUGGUCUAAUUGCCUCGCCCUGCAUGUCUUGUCUUUUGUGCUCCUCUCUCCACCAUUUUCAGACACUCUCGCCCCUACUCGGGAACUUCUGCACAUGUAUUUUAGAUCCGCGUCCGUUUCAGGAAUUGUGCAAAUGAGGGGCAUGCCGAACAAAACACAGUGUCAUGUAUUGUUUGAAAACAUCAAUUAAAAAGAAUGUUUCCUAUUCAGAAGCACAGCUUGAGAGCGACCUCUUUUGUUCUUGCUGAAAGAUUGUGGGAGGUUGACUGGGCAUGCUAAUUAUGACAGGAAAGGUCAAACUAAUUAGUGCUCCCUUUGAACUUGCUACCGGAAGUUCCCUGAUAUGUCCACGCAGACUUGACAGAGUUCAAAUUAAUUAAGAGUUGUCCUAGUUGCAAGACUGGUCUUUUAAAAGAGUUCUGUAUUUUAAGCAUGUUUACACAGCUUUCUUUUUAAAAUGUGUGUAAUCUCAUUAGUGUUUUUGUGGGAAGGCGUUCCAUUUACUACGCGCAAAUAAUUCUGAACAAGAGGCUUUUAUUUGUGAAGGGUUUGGUAACAAGAUACUCACACGUGUAAAUAGGUCUCUUUAUCAAGUGAAAAGAGAACACUUUGUGCACCAUUAAACCUGCACAAUGCCGUAAUCGUCUUUGUUUAGAUAUGUUAAAUAAAGCAUAUCAUUAUGCUCUACUGGGUGCUAAGUGGUGUUUUAAAGGUCCAUAAAUUCAAUUAGACAAUAUUUAAUGCUGCCCCUAGACCACGUUAGUGCAGCGACGCACGUGAUCAGGGGGGAGGGUCGAGUCAACAUUUUUAAGAAUUAUUACUCAGGAUUUACAUUUAUAUUGUCAUUUUAAUAGCACGCCCCUCUUCAACCGAUAGGGGCCUCAGAUGCUUCCAGGGCCUCAGCCCCCCCUCCCUCCCUCAGGACUGUAUCCCAUUUUUCAUUAUACAUAGCGAGGAAAGAAAAAAAGAAAUCUCUCUUCCGUCUCAGUCAUUAGAGCGAUCUCGUUAGCCUGGUGCUAAUGCACAGUUUAGCAGCCACCGCGGAAAAUGCUAAAGAGGUCCUGACAACUCCUGGGGGUUGGCUAAGUGUGGGCCAAGGGUUUCUUUCUGUGUGUGCGAGUGCGCACUCGCGUUAGUGUUUGAAGGGGGGGCGGGACGGGGUCCCAGUGGUUGUUUGCCUGUUUUCCAUCAAGAGCCCUCAUCUCCUUUAUCCCCUUUGUGGCGGAGGCCCUCCUCGGGCAGUUCCCUCUGAGGGGGAUCUAAAAAGAGCAGCUGCUGGGGAAUGAGUGCCAUUUCCUCCUGCUGUCACCAGCACACUGGCAACCCUUAGUCCUCCUGUCCCCCUCCACUCGCAAACCCCCUAUUAAUAUGCAUAUGAACUUGUUUCUCUUAGUUCUGAACUCCAAUGACAAAGUGGGAAAGCAUAUGUCUGAAAUAUUCAUGAUCGCACGCAGUAAUUAAGCGGUGGAGAAGGGAACUCUGCGAGGGAGAGUCACUACCCCUCUGCUGGAGUUAAAAAUGGCCUUUUUUUCCCCCUCUCCAGCACUAAAAAGCAUGUUAUCCUCUGCUUUCUCAGUAAUUCUUCGAAGCCUCUCCCUCGUCGUUUGUGCUGUUGUGCAACACAGAGCCACUUACCAUGUGAGAGUUAAUGAGGCUUAAAAGAAGUGCAGUUUUGUUUAGUGAGUUAACUCCAGUUAAGUGCCAGAGAGGACCCGCAUUGUGACACCAAGGAUGUUUUUCCUCAGUUUUUCUCUGUACCACGUCCAUCAUUAAAUAUCCCUUCACAUACAAACACUGAUACUUGGAAAUGUAAUUGUCCAUGUUACUGAAAUAGAACUAAAGAAUCUCCUGCCUCACACCUUUUGUAAUUGGUACCAGCAACUUGCAUUUUCAGCAUGAUUUAGUCAUGUCUAACUUUGAUCUUUCACAAUUGUUUCUCUGGAAUAAAAAAUGUAAAGUAAUAUGUCCACAGUAUUAAUAUUAUGAAAUUAGUAUUUGCAUAAAAAAAUCAUUUUUAUUUUCUGUCAUCUCAGAAUCACUUAAGAGUUCACCAAACAUUCAUGCUCUUCAUCUUUAGGUGCAGUGUUGGGGAAAAAAAAACAAAAACCUUUGGUACACAACAUAUUACAUUUUCAAAAUGUUUCGUCAUUACUAUUCUUUUCAUAUUUUAAUGAUCUUUUAGCAACAUUUUCAGUUAAGUGUCGGAAAUGCCCUUAAUCGAUGGUUUGAAAAGACUGACUUUGAAGUCGAUGAAGAAAGCAUGCUGCAGACCAUUCAGAGAUUCAGCCAGAAGAAUGAGAGGACACAGAGGUGGACGCCUCUGUACAACCACCAGAGAGGUGGAGAGAGGGAGGGAGAGGGAGGGGGGUAUUUAGUUAUAGGAGGCGAGAGGGCGGUAGAGGGGGAGAGAGGGGGCUGUGAGAUGGUUGCCGAGGGUUGACAGCCAGGUAGAUUGU